rnacentral:tRNA from 1 species
GCCUGGGUGGCUCAGCGGCUGAGCACCUGCCUUGGGCUCAGGUCAUGAUCCCAGGGUCCCGGGAUCGAGUCCCAGAUCGGGCU